UUUUUUUUUUUUUUUGUCUUUUUUUUGCUAUUUCUUUGGGCCGCUUCUGCGGCAUAUGGAGGUUCCCAGGCUAGGGGUCGAAUUGGAGCUGCAGCCUCCGGCCUACGCCAGAGCCACAGCACCUCGGGAUCCGAGCCGCGUCUGCAACCAACACCACAGCUCACGGCAACGCCGGAUCGUUAACCCACUGAGCAGGGGCAGGGACCGAACCCCCAACCUCAUGGUUCCUAGUCGGAUUCGUUAACCACUGCGCCACGAAGGGAACUCCUACAAAAAUUCUUAACUGGGUCACGUGCAUUGCCAACCCAAAUCCAUCACUUCGAGAUCUCAUUCUCUGUCCACUGCAUACACAUCUCCCAAGUUCCUCUCUGGACUACUUCCCAGAUAAUGUUGGUUGCACUCCAUGUUGCUCUUUCUGUGAACAAUGCUUCUUUUAUUUACAAAGCCUUUUCUAAUCUCUGUGUCAUGGGCGUGAAUGGGGAGGCCUGGUUGCUGAUGCCUCCAGGAGUGGUGUGGGUGCCUUCAGAGUUAGCUGUACUUUCCGUGUCCUUUGAAUGAACUGAAAUUUGUUCUUGGCUUGUCUAGCUUCUGUGUUUGCAACAUCACGAAGUCUUAACCUUUUCUUUGGCUGUUUUCCUAGGUAUAUAUUUGCCUGAACUCACUAGCUUAAUGCUUUCUUUUCUUAUUAACUAAACCUGACAUGCUGUAUCCACAAUUAAUGGUUCUGAUCUUUUCCCUACUGGGCUUCAUCAUCUCUCUCUCUUUCUUAAUUCUCUGGCUUUUAUCCUCCUUUUUGGAAUAUCUUCUGCUUUCCUUUAGGCUUUCUUUCUCCAUUAAUCCUCCAAAAAUUUAAUAAUAGCACAUUCAUAGAUGGACUAGUUGACUUUCUAGAGACAAGCUGAGGGUAUGUCAUUUAGGGAUAUCGACAACUGGGUGACCAAGGACAAGAGAAGAGGAUGCAGAUCCCCCUGAUUGGGCUUUGGAGGCUUUCUUCUGAGUCUUUGCUCUAAAGAUGGUCAAAUUAGACUGUACAAAGAGCAGUAUCUUUUCUCCUUCUUCACCUUCCCAUUAGACCACUUUGAAAGGAUAAGAAAGAUGCUGCUUAAUUUCAGCAUCUUCUCAGCCAUCCCUUACAGCAGAUGAAUGAGAAAAGAGUAUCCUCUGACUCAACCGAGGAAAAAGGAAGCACAGCCUAUUUCAGUGCUAACAAGAGUUUAGGGAUUCCUGUAAGAACCCAGAUUUUCUUAUUCGCAGUAAAUAAACACACUUCCAUUUCUUUGGCUACAUAUGCGAUGAAUGCUUGACAGUGGGGACUUACAUUAUUCAUGAAGAUGGUGGAGAGGAAUUUAUGAACACGGCAGCCAUAAGGGAUCCUUAGAGGAAGCCAUGUGCCCCAGUACUUCGACCACCACUGCCUGCUCCGGAGAUGCUGGCCAGACUCCUCUGCGGCAUGGGAUGAGGUGUAAUAAAGGCAGCACACUCCUUAAAUGGGCUCUUAUCAGGCAUCAGGCUUUCUUUCAAGAGUCUCAUCCAUGUGGCUUCGUUUAGUCUUUAUAGAUGCCCCACGAGGGCGGAACUAACUAUGACUGUCCACGGCCACGUAGCAUGCAAAUAUCACAGCUGGGAUGAAAACUCCUAGGGCUGACUCCAUCCUCCACAGUCCACAUUGUUACAUUGUACCCGGGACGCGUGCUACAAAGACAAAGGCAGAAGAGAGAGGGACAAGGAGGAAGAGGAGGCCAGGGAGAGAGGAACAGAAGAAAGAGAGAGAGAGAUGGAGGGAGGGAGGGGGAGAGGAGGAGAAGGGGAGUAUUUGCUAUGAAAAUAAUAGUAACGAUAUUUCUCUGUCCUAUGAAUGUAACUAUAUUGCAAUAGUUAUUGCUUAAUCCUUUUGCUCGAAAGACAAAAAAAAAAAAAAAAAAUGUGUAAGCAAAACGCAGCCCAAGCCAAAAAACUGUGUUGGUAUUUUUUUCCUUGCCUUCCUUUUGUUGUAACAUUUUGUUUGAAGGCAUAAUGAAGUUCUUCUUUGAUUUAAUUAAAAAAUCUGCUUCACUUCCAAACUAACACUCAGGUAAGUGUCAAACUUCCAAUUAUACACAUUAAAAUAUGUUUGGAACCUGUGUUAAAAACUCUAUUUGCAUUAGGCUUUAAUCAUCAUAAAGGAAAAAUGUUUCCAAGAGGUCUGGCUACAUAAAUAAUUAUCCACUUCUUAAGUGCACAGUGGAGUUUUCCCCUGAGAAAAUUCUAUAACUUGGAGAGUAAUGUAAGGGUAAUUAAUUACCAAAAUGAGAUUAAUACUGCAUGCCAAGAAUGAUAACGAAAUGCACAGAGGCUCCACAAACAUAGUCUGUAGGCAGUACAGAGGAGGAAAUGUUGAGAAGUGAGACAAUUUCACUCACAUUUCAGGCUUUGUUCGCAAAAAGCGCUUCCUCUUUUUUUGCGGGGGGAUCAAUCAUCUCAGCUGAACCUCUCGUCCACAUCACCUGAACACCUGCAAUAACCUCUUUAUUGGCUUUCAUAUUCCUCAUGGUGCUUCUCGCCUAAACUGGCAUCUCAGGAAAUCCGUUUAUGUUUUGCAGCUCCCAAAUAAUUUCAUGACCCCAUCGUCAGAGUCCCCCGCUCAGAAACCUUCAAUGGCUCCCAGUGCUUUCAGGAUACAUUCCAGUCUUCAGAGAAAGGUUUAAGGUUCUUCAGAAGCAUGACUUUGACCAGAUUUGCUCUCUUCCUCCUUCCUGUGCCACCAAGGUGUUGGAGACCAUGGAACAGCUGACCGCUGCAGAAGACAAAUACCUAUGGAAGCAGAGUUCUAAAGUACAGAGUCCCCUUCAAAGACAAGCUAGAGGACUUAUGCAUUAACCACCUUAUUCUGUAAACAGCUGCACUCUGUCCUAAGGAUACCCCCUUUGAUAUCACUAAGAUAACUUCCUAUUGCCUAUGCCUGUUCCUGCCCACUAAUCUUGUCACCUUCCUUAAUCAAACUAAUACUAAUCUCAUCACCUUCCUUAAUAAAAGUCAUGCGGGCUAAAGCCUAGGGCCUUUGUUUUGUGGAACAGAGUGCCCCCUGGUCCCCCACUUUCUAAACGUAGAGUAGUCUUGUGUGUUUUGUUAUGCCGUGCCAUCUCUCUUCUAAGAUUCCCCAUUGCCCUGCAGCCCUGGAUGCGGCACCAAGGCUCAUCCCGCACCAGCACACUGUUCCCCAGAUUUGACUGCUAAAAUAUUCACUGGGAUACAGAGGAGUUAAAAAUCCAGAUUCCUAGGCCUCUUCCCUGGAAUCAGAUUCCAUAGGAAAAGGGACUUGGAGUCUCCGUUGUAACAAAUGACCCAAAUCGUUCAGAUGCGUUUGGAAACUGUCCUAAGCAGUUUCCCAUUUGCCAUCCCCUAAACAUGACCCACACGCCCCUCUCCCAUGCCCUCUGCUUACCAUAAACUGUUCCACUUACUGUAAUCCUGAUAGAGCGGAGAGUCCAAUCAGCAUGGUUGUAGCUGGGUUCCCCCCCAACAGAGCCUGAAACAAGACUUUGAAGGU
rnacentral:lncRNA from 1 species